UUUAUACGUCGAAUUUUGAUCGCGUCAAAUGCAAUUAAGACGAUAGAUAAUGAGAUGAUUUGAAUUGCAUUCGACGCGACCGAAAUUCGACGUAUAAA